UGGGGAAUUUUGCACAAUGGGGGAAACCCUGAUGCAGCGACGCCGCGUGAUUUAGAAGGCCUUCGGGUUGUAAAAAUCUUUUCUAUGGGAAGAAAAUGACAGUACCAUAGGAAUAAGGACCGGCUAAUUACGUGCCAGCAGCCGCGGUAAUACGUAAGGUCCGAGCGUUGUCCGGAAUCAUUGGGCGUAAAUGGUACGUAGGCGGGUAAGCAAGUUAGAAGUGAAAUCCUAUAGCUCAACUAUAGUAAGCUUUUAAAACUGCUCAUCUUGAGGUAUGGAAGGGAAAGUGGAAUUCCUGGUGUGGCGGUGAAAUGCGCAGAUAUUAGAAGGAAUACCGGUGGCGAAGGCGACUUUCUGGCCAUAACCUAACGCUGAGGUACGAAAGCGAGGGUAGCAAACAGG
rnacentral:rRNA from 1 species